CUGGCUCAGAACGAACGCUGGCGGCAGGCUUAACACAUGCAAGUCGAACGCCCCGCAAGGGGAGUGGCAGACGGGUGAGUAACGCGUGGGAAUCUACCGUGCCCUGCGGAAUAGCUCCGGGAAACUGGAAUUAAUACCGCAUACGCCCUACGGGGGAAAGAUUUAUCGGGGUAUGAUGAGCCCGCGUUGGAUUAGCUAGUUGGUGGGGUAAAGGCCUACCAAGGCGACGAUCCAUAGCUGGUCUGAGAGGAUGAUCAGCCACAUUGGGACUGAGACACGGCCCAAACUCCUACGGGAGGCAGCAGUGGGGAAUAUUGGACAAUGGGCGCAAGCCUGAUCCAGCCAUGCCGCGUGAGUGAUGAAGGCCUUAGGGUUGUAAAGCUCUUUCACCGGAGAAGAUAAUGACGGU
rnacentral:rRNA from 1 species